UACGGAGGGGGCGAGCGUUAUUCGGAAUUAUUGGGCGUAAAGGGCGCGUAGGCGGCCCCGUAAGUCUUGGGUGAAAGCCCUCGGCUCAACCGAGGAAUUGCCUUGGAUACUGCGGGGCUCAAGGCUGGAAGAGGACAGUGGAAUUCCGGGUGUAGUGGUGGAAUGCGUAGAGAUCCGGAGGAACACCAGCGGCGAAGGCGGCAUCCUGGACUGGUCCUGACACUCAGGAGCGAAAGCGUGGGGAGCGAUCCGG
rnacentral:rRNA from 1 species